rnacentral:rRNA from 1 species
ACAAGUACCCGUGAGGGAAAGUUGAAAAGAACUUAGAGGUGAGAGUUCAACAGGGCGUAAAACCGCUUAGAAGUAAACGGAUGGUGCUGACAUUGUUUCUGCCGGAUUCAGCCGGUCUGAUGGUUGAUCGUUUGUUUACCGAUCGCAAGACGGUAUUCAGAGUGUACUUGACCUAGGACCGGUGCAUUUUCGGUAGAAUGCAUCAUGACCGCUGACGACGCUGGCAUAAGGCCGGUUGGUAGCCGUCUGCAGGUUCUCGGACUUGCAGUGACCCACCUUCCGUGUCCUGACCGAGUUGGCGUCAGCGGAUAACUGAACGUGCCCGCUUCGCUCGUCUUGUGCUUUCAUUGGGUUGAAUGAACCGUCUUGUCGUGCUUGCACGGCAGGGCAACCCUCGGCCCUUUGACUGUACCGGUAUGAGUAGGCACUGAAGGUCUAUGGUGUCCGCGUCAGUCUCCCAUCCGACCCGUCUUGAAACACGGACCAAGGAGUCUAACAUGUGCGCAAGUCAUGGGGUGUAAAACCCAAAGGCGUAAUGAAAGUAAAGGCCGCAAGGCUGAGGUGUGAUGUCUAGUUUAACUGGACCGCAACACCGUCCCAUCGCAUCGGCUUGUCCGGGCGGUGGAGAAAGAGCGUACACGUUGGGACCCGAAAGAUGGUGAACUAUGCCUGAGCAGGAUGAAGCCAGAGGAAACUCUGGUGGAGGUCCGUAGCGGUUCUGACGUGCAAAUCGAUCGUCAGACUUGGGUAUAGGGGCGAAAGACUAAUCGAACCAUCUAGUAGCUGGUUCCUUCCGU